GAUGAACGCUGGCGGCGUGCCUAACACAUGCAAGUCGGACGAUAGUAGCAAUACUAUAGUGGCGCACGGGUGAGUAACACGUAGCUAACCUGCCUUCGAGCGCGGGAUAACGCCCCGAAAGGGGUGCUAAGACCGCCUAAGCUCACAGGAAUGUAGAGGCCUGUGAGAAAACAGCUUCGGCUGCUUGAAGAGGGGGCUGCGGCCCAUCAGGUAGNGGUGGGGUAAGAGCCUACCAAGCCGACGACGGGUAGGGGGUCUGAGAGGAUGGUCCCCCACACUGGAACUGAGACACGGUCCAGACUCCUACGGGAGGCAGCAGUGAGGAAUAUUGCACAAUGGGGGCGAACCCUGAUGCAGCGACGCCGCGUGGGUGAUGAA
rnacentral:rRNA from 1 species